UUGGAGGGCAAGUCUGGUGCCAGCAGCCGCGGUAAUUCCAGCUCCAAUAGCGUAUAUUAAAGUUGUUGCAGUUAAAAAGCUCGUAGUUGAAUUUUGGGAUCAGUAUGCUGGUCGUGCCUUCGGUACUAUGCACUGGUGUCACUGAUUCCUCCCUUCUGAAGAACCGUAAUGCCAUUCAGUUGGUGUGGCGGGGAAUCAGGAUUGUUACUUUGAAAAAUUAGAGUGUUUAAAGCAGGCUCGCGCUUGAAUACAUUAGCAUGGAAUAAUGAAAUAGGACGUUUGAUCCUAUUUUGUUGGUUUCUAGGAUCGACGUAAUGAUUAAUAGGGAUAGUUGGGGGCAUUAGUAUUCAAUUGUCAGAGGUGAAAUUCUUGGAUUUAUUGAAGACUAACUACUGCGAAAGCAUUUGCCAAGGAUGUUUUCAUUAAUCAAGAACGAAAGUUAGGGGAUCGAAGACGAUCAGAUACCGUCGUAGUCUUAACCAUAAACUAUGCCGACUAGGGAUCGGAUGAUGUUAAUUUUAAU
rnacentral:rRNA from 1 species